AUUUCCCUAAUCUUUAGUUCCACCUAAUCACUGUUUUCUCAGCCCCAUUCUUUCAUUUACCUUAAGCAGGGCUUGAUCCUUUCCUCCACUGCAUCUUUUGUUGUCAUUCACUGUUCUGGAAGGUGCUGUGCUACGAACUUCUGUGACACCGAGACGGCCAUACUACUGGGGGUUAGUGGUCAAGGCAAGCAGUGUGCAUUGGCUAAUCUCUGAUCUGAGUUGUCAUGGUCACCGUGGGCUCACAGCCAGGGGAAGUGAUGGAAUGAGGUUGCAAUCACUGAAUCCAAGGAGGAGUCUGCAUGUCCACCUUUCAGCUGUGCGCCCCCAGUAAUCAGUAAAAUGCUGCAGUAGAUCCAGGGACAGAUUCUGCUGUCUCCUAUGCCUGUUGAAACUCUGGAAUAUCUCCACUGAUGUCAGUUACUCCAGAUUUACACAGAUGUAAAGGAGAUCAGAGUCUGACUGCCAGUGAGCAACUCCUCCUCCCUACCCCCACAGAUUCACAAACAAAUCAUGUUUUAUUCUCUUUCAGUUUCACUCCACAGCAAAGCUGUGUGAUUGCUCGACAUUGCUGUGGCUUGAAUUUCUAUUCACAUUUCUACCCCAUGUUAUUGAAUUGUGAAAUCUCCUCAGCGAUGUGCUGAUUACAGAAUUGAGUCUUCAUGCUCUGGCAUUUAGAGACGAUUUCAGACAUAAAACUGUUUAUAAAUUCAAUAUUCCCUGGGUCUGAACUCUAAAUUCAAGGUGUAUCAUAUGGGCAUAUUCUUUGACAUUGAGAUGCAAAAUGCUUGUAUGCAGAGACAAUUAUACUGACUAUACAGUAGGAUAACAGCUCAGAGAUAUAUGUGUGCUACUUUAUUCACAGUUAUUCUGUGAUGGGUUUCAUACAUUAUAGAACAUUGGAGGCAUAGCUCGUGGUUUAAAUAAGACUUCAGUAUCUUGUAAAGAUUGGUAGGUAUAUAUGUAUAUGAAGAGAAAGAGACUAUUGUGUGUAUAAAAUCAUUACUCCCUUUCCUCCCCCCCCUCAUGUGUGUGCGUGUGCGUGCAUGCAUGUAUUGCACUGGCAAAAUGAUGGAGCAGAUGGCCAAUUUACCUUCUAAUAUAUGUGUAGAUACAUAGAAAUUAAAGAGCAAAAAACUAUUAAGCCCUCUUCUCCAUUUUGGCCAGUGAAAAAUGGUUCUAUAUUGUACAUUUGCUACUAUCAAAUGCCCCUACAGCCUCCAUGCUGUCAUAGGAAGCAAGGCCAGAAAUGCAUCAUGGAGGGAUGAACCUGCUGUGGAGGGGAUCAGUGGAUUGUGAGUGAAGUAGGAUGAAGACAGGAGAGGGGAGAUCUCACUGAACCAACGAAGGAAGAUGGGGAUCAGGGGUAGGAGGGCACUGCUUAUCCAAACCAGGUGGAGGAUGAGGACCUCCUCUUCUGCGUUUAGAUUCCUGGAUCGGAUCCUCCACAGCCCCCUGACCCUCCCCUCCUAUCUUCUGAAGAAGAUUGGAUAGAUCCUGUUUCUAAGGUGUAAGGCUUCCUGAAAUCUAAUGUCUGUUGUCUUGAUGCAUUCUGUAAAUUGCAACAUGUGGGGGUGUUUGUAUCUAGGAUACAAGCAAUUCCCAUCUAAUUAAAUGAGUCACACUGUGGGGGUGAAUAGGCCCAAGAGUUUUCAUUAAACAUAGAGCUGGUCAAAAUUUUGUCGUGGAAACAUUUUUCUGAUUAAAAAAAUGGCUUUUGACCAAAGCAGUAGUUUGCAUAAUACUUUUUUUGUUUUGGUU